UAGUGUAAUAAGGCUUGUCAUGGGUGGUGGCUCAACUCCCUUCUGAAAGGGGGUGAUGCCUCUUGACAGUAUUUGAGACAUUGGUUUUAAUGAUCUCGUUUGCAACGUUGAUUGUUGCUUUAUUGUCGGAAAAAAAAUAACCACCCAAGCCUAGCAAGCAAUUAGGGUGGUCAUUUUAUGCGCCUUUUUUGUGAGCUGCCCCCUUGAAGGGCUAUUACACGGAGGCUUAAUGGUGUAUCAGCGCCAUUA
rnacentral:sRNA from 1 species